rnacentral:rRNA from 1 species
GAUGAACGCUGGCGGCGUGCCUAAUACAUGCAAGUCGAGCGAACAGAUGAGGAGCUUGCUCCUCUGACGUUAGCGGCGGACGGGUGAGUAACACGUGGAUAACCUACCUAUAAGACUGGGAUAACUUCGGGAAACCGGAGCUAAUACCGGAUAAUAUAUUGAACCGCAUGGUUCAAUAGUGAAAGACGGUUUUGCUGUCACUUAUAGAUGGAUCCGCGCCGCAUUAGCUAGUUGGUAAGGUAACGGCUUACCAAGGCAACGAUGCGUAGCCGACCUGAGAGGGUGAUCGGCCACACUGGAACUGAGACACGGUCCAGACUCCUACGGGAGGCAGCAGUAGGGAAUAUUCCGCAAUGGGCGAAAGCCUGACGGAGCAACGCCGCGUGAGUGAUGAAGGUCUUCGGAUCGUAAAACUCUGUUAUUAGGGAAGAACAAAUGCGUAAGUAACUAUGCACGUCUUGACGGUACCUAAUCAGAAAGCCACGGCUAACUACGUG